UUGAACGCUGGCGGCAUGCCUUACACAUGCAAGUCGAACGGUAACGGGCCUUCGGGUGCCGACGAGUGGCGAACGGGUGAGUAAUACAUCGGAACGUGCCCGAUCGUGGGGGAUAACGAGGCGAAAGCUUUGCUAAUACCGCAUACGAUCUACGGAUGAAAGCAGGGGACCGCAAGGCCUUGCGCGGACGGAGCGGCCGAUGGCAGAUUAGGUAGUUGGUGGGAUAAAAGCUUACCAAGCCGACGAUCUGUAGCUGGUCUGAGAGGAUGAUCAGCCACACUGGGACUGAGACACGGCCCAGACUCCUACGGGAGGCAGCAGUGGGGAAUUUUGGACAAAGGGCGCAAGCCUGAUCCAGCCAUGCCGCGUGCAGGAUGAAGGCCUUCGGGUUGUAAACUGCUUUUGUACGGAACGAAAAGCCUUCUUUUAAUACAGGAGGGUCAUGACGGUACCGUAAGAAUAAGCACCGGCUAACUACGUG
rnacentral:rRNA from 1 species